ACCUGGCUGGCUCAGUUGGUAGAGCAGGUGACUCUCGAUCUCUGGGUCAUGAGUUCAAGCCCCAUGUUGGGCC